rnacentral:lncRNA from 1 species
CUCCUCUCCGCCUCCGUUAUGCCCCGCCGGCUGAAUGCGCACGCGCGGCAAGAGCUGCGCGCGCAUUCAGCCGGUCUCAUAGGAAAGCAUUUACAAUGCUUUCCUAUGGACGCUGGCGUGCUCUCACUGUGAAAAUCACAGUGAGAAGCACGCAAGCGCCUCUAGUGGCUGUCAAUGAGACAGCUACUAGAGGAUUAGGGGGAAGGCUUAAC